GUGGGGAAUCUUCCGCAAUGGACGAAAGUCUGACGGAGCGACGCCGCGUGAGUGAAGAAGGCCUUCGGGUCGUAAAGCUCUGUCAUCGGGGACGAAUGGUCGAUGGAGUGGAAAGCCAUUGAAAUGACGGUACCCGAGAAGGAAGCCACGGCUAACUACGUGCCAGCAGCCGCGGUAAUACGUAGGUGGCAAGCGUUGUCCGGAAUUAUUGGGCGUAAAGCGCGCGCAGGUGGGAUCUUAAGUCUAUUUUGAAAGUUCGGAGCUUAACUCCGUGAUGAGAUAGAAACUGGGAUUCUUGAGUACCGGAGAGGAAAGCGGAAUUCCCCGUGUAGCGGUGAAAUGCGUAGAUAUGGGGAGGAACACCAGUGGCGAAGGCGGCUUUCUGGACGGUGUCUGACACUGAGGCGCGAAAGCCAGGGGAGCGAACGGGAUUAGAAACCCCGGUAGUCC
rnacentral:rRNA from 1 species